rnacentral:lncRNA from 1 species
GGACAAUUAUUUAGGACAAUUAAUAAUUAUUUUGGACAAUUAAUAAUUAUAAGAUAAAUAAAACAUCAUAUACAUUUAUUUAAGACAAUUAAUAAUUAAUAAUUAUUUAGGACAAUUAAUAAAUAUUUCGGACAAUUAAUAAUUAAUAAUACAUCAUAUACAUUUAUUUACGACAAUUAAUAAUUAUUUAGGACAAUUAUACAUCAUAUACAUUAUAUAAGAAAAAUAAAAAAUAAGAAAAAAAAUGGGCGCUAGUGGGCCGGCCCAGCUGGGCAGGCGGCCCACCGGCCCGUGCCCCUCCCCCUCCCUCUCCCCCUCACCCUCUCCGCCGGCCGCAGCAAGCACACCGCCGCCGCCGCCUCGGUUGAGGAGCCCCGAGACUCCCCCGAGGCGGUUGCGCGCAGCCCCUGAGGCUUCCCCGCGUUGAGCCAC